AACCCGUAGAUCCGAUCUUGUGGUAAAAUACACCACACAAGCUCGCUUCUAUGGGUCUG
rnacentral:pre_miRNA from 1 species